UGCAACCCGACUACAUGAAGCUGGAAUCGCUAGUAAUCGCGAAUCAGAAUGUCGCGGUGAAUACGUUCCCGGGUCUUGUACACACCGCCCGUCACACCAUGGGAGUCGGAAAUGCCCGAAGUCAGUGACCCAACCGUAAGGAGGGAGCUGCCGAAGGUGGAGCCGGUAACUGGGGUGAAGUCGUAACAAGGUAUC
rnacentral:rRNA from 1 species